rnacentral:rRNA from 1 species
UACGAAGGGGGGCUAGCGUUGCUCGGAAUCACUGGGCGUAAAGGGUGCGUAGGCGGGUUUUUAAGUCAGGGGUGAAAUCCUGGAGCUCAACUCCGGAACUGCCUUUGAUACUGAAGAUCUUGAGUCCGGGAGAGGUGAGUGGAACUGCGAGUGUAGAGGUGAAAUUCGUAGAUAUUCGCAAGAACACCAGUGGCGAAGGCGGCAUCACU